UUUCCGUCGGUGAACCUGCGGAAGGAUCAUUAUUGUAUAACCGAGGUGCGAGGGCUGUCGCUGACCCGAAAGGUCGUGCACGCCCGAGUGCCCUCACACACAUCCAUCUCACCCCUAUGUGCACCACCGCGUGGGUCCCCCUUUGGCUUGUUCGGAGGGGGGCUUACGUUUUCACACAAACUUUGUAUGCAGUGUAGAAUGUAUUUUUUGUUUUUGCGAUCACGCAAUCAAUACAACUUUCAACAACGGAUCUCUUGGCUCUC
rnacentral:misc_RNA from 1 species